CAAAGCAGUCAGAAUGACCGCCGCCCCAAGUUCGUGGGGGGAGGAAAGUCCGGGCUCCACAGGACAAGGCGCUGGGUAACACCCAGUCCCGGUGACGGGAAGGAAAGUGCAACAGAAAGCAGACCGCCCCCGCCGGUGCAUUGCAUCGCGGGAGUAAGGGUGAAACGGUGAGGUAAGAGCUCACCAGCUCCGCCGGUGACGGCGGAGGCUUGGUAAACCCCGCCUGGAGCAAGACCAAAUAGGGGAACGCCUGAGGGCGGUCCGCCCGAGUUCCCGGGUAGGUCGCUGGACCUCAACGGUAACGUUGAGGGUAGAUGAAUGGUCAUUGCCCCGGAGGCGGGUGACCCCUCCGGGGAACAGAACCCGGCUUACAGCCUGCUCUGGCAC
rnacentral:RNase_P_RNA from 1 species